rnacentral:rRNA from 1 species
AGUUUGAUCAUGGCUACAGAACGAACGCUGGCGGCAUGCCUAACACAUGCAAGUCGAACGAAGCCUUCGGGCUUAGUGGCGCACGGGUGCGUAACGCGUGGGAAUCUGCCCUUGGGUUCGGAAUAACAGUUAGAAAUGACUGCUAAUACCGAAUGAUGUCUUCGGACCAAAGAUUUAUCGCCCAAGGAUGAGCCCGCGUCGGAUUAGCUAGUUGGUGAGGUAAAAGGCUCACCAAGGCGACGAUCCGUAGCUGGUCUGAGAGGAUGAUCAGCCACACUGGGACUGAGACACGGCCCAGACUCCUACGGGAGGCAGCAGUGGGGAAUAUUGGACAAUGGGCGAAAGCCUGAUCCAGCAAUGCCGCGUGAGUGAUGAAGGCCUUAGGGUUGUAAAGCUCUUUUACCCGGGAUGAUAAUGACAGUACCGGGAGAAUAAGCCCCGGCUAACUCCGUG